rnacentral:lncRNA from 1 species
ACUAAAUUCUCACCUAAAGUUGAUACUAAUAUUACAAUAACUCUCUUGUGCCCUAUUUUGGUGUUUUAAACUUCUUUGCUGUACAUUUAAGAAAAUCAGAAUUUCAGUAGACUCCUCGUGCAGUCUGAGGAGGCAGUUUCCUAUCUGGUUUGACUUAAGGGGCUGCAGAAGACAUUCUUAUCCCACAUAUUUCUUCUGCUGAUCAGUCAGCAACUGAAAUUCCAACUAAUGGAUUCCAUUCUUCCAGUUAAGACAUCAUCUCCAGAAAACUGUGCUAGUUGGCAUCCAGCAGUGCCCAAGUAUUAUUUAACCCACUAGAACCUGUGACUGCAUCAGCUUUAUAUCCUGGACCUCAGCCUGGAACAAAGGAGAGCUACACUUGGAUACUAAACACAAGUGGUCUGGAUAGAUUAUGCUGGGAAAAGAAGCCUGGAGCAGGCAGUACAGUGGGAGAACAAGGAGAGAAUGGAGUUGCAGCAGACUGCUCAGGAAUUGUACAUCACCAGUAGCUUCUGUCUCAGCUAAGUGUGGGAGACUGAUACUGAUGAGCCAUUAACAAUGGUGGAGAUUCUGAAUCACUGAAGCACUUGAUAAAAGAAAUGUCGUGGGUGAUGUGAAAAUCUACAUAUGCCCAUGAGAGUAUAUUGAGUUUACAGAAGUGCUUGCCUUGGUGAUCCAAAAAAGGCAGGAUCCGGCCGGGGGCAAGGUGAUUAUUCUGUCUGAUGAGGAGAAUAAGAGCCAGUUUGUGGUAUUGACAGAAGAAUGAAAGUAAAGUCUUGAAAGAUGGGAAGAUCAGGAGCAGUCUGGAGUCAUGGUAUAUGAAUGAACUAGUGAGAGUGGGCACAAAGUCUGAAGAUCUUUGUAGUGCAGCUAAUGUCUAAGGGAGAAUAUACCUACCCUAGAAGAGACAUUAAACAACCAGGUUGUCUCUUCAUUCUGUUGAUUGUUUCCUUUGUUGUAAAAGAAACUCACUUUACAGGAAAAGAGGUGCAACAGUGGCUGGAUGAUUAUAAGAUCGACUGUUCCUAUUAAAAACUACACCAUCCAAAAGAGGCUGCCAUUGAAGAGCAAUAAAGUAGUUCAUAGAAGGCAUAGUUCAACCAAUCUACAAAGGCCAAAAAUAUUUUCACAGGCCCCCAAAAGAUGAACUCCAAUCUGCUGCCCCUAAACGCAUUCUCCACUGUCUGGAAGAUGUGCAAAGGCAACGGCACAGCGUUCUCCAUCUCAAAUCCUUCAAAGUGCUGUCAGAAUAAAAGAAUCCCCACCAAAAGCCCCAGGGAAAUCUAUCUGUCUGUAUGGUAUGGUAAUGACUGAGGUUAUUCCAGAUAGGAUUCUGGGAGAAACUCAGCUAUUGAAAUCUAAUGAAUGGAACUGAGAAUUUCUUGUUAUAAUACUGUUUGUUUGAUUGAAUAUAUCCUUGCAUAUAGGAAGACAUAAAAAUAAAUAAUAAAAGCAAGAUAUUAUUUGAA